rnacentral:rRNA from 1 species
GAUGAACGCUAGCGGCAGGCUUAAUACAUGCAAGUCGUGGGGCAGCAUGAGUAGCAAUACUUGAUGGCGACCGGCAAACGGGUGAGGAACACGUACACAACCUUCCUUCAAGCGGGGAAUAGCCCAGAGAAAUUUGGAUUAAUACCCCAUAAUAUAUUGAUAAGGCAUCUUAUAAUAUUAAGCUUCGGCACUUGAUGAUGGGUAUGCGGCUGAUUAGAUAGUUGGCGGGUAACGGCCCACCAAGUCUACGAUCAGUAGCUGAUGUGAGAGCAUGAUCAGCCACACGGGCACUG